rnacentral:rRNA from 1 species
GGGUCAGUAGGUUGGUCGUGCCACCGGUACGUACUGGUCUCACUGAUUCCUCCUUCCUGAAGAACCGUAAUGCCAUUAAUUUGGCGUUGCGGGGAAACAGGACUGUUACUUCGAAAAAAUUAGAGUGUUUAAAGCAAGCUAACGCUUGAAUACAUUAGCAUGGAAUAAUGAAAUAGGACGAUCGAUCCUAUUUUGUUGGUUUCUAGGAUUGACGUA